UAUCUAUCUAUCAUCUAUUUAUCUAUCUAUAGUAUUUUUAUCUUUCAAGCUAAGGAGAAAAUUGAAAAUAUGGCUUAUCAGCAAGCCACAAUGUUCUUGUAUAUUUUCCAACAAGAGCCCUUGUCUUCAUCCUUUGAGAGUUUUGAACUUCUCUGUCUAGUCUUUGUGUCACAUGGAGACAAAGGAGCUAAGACAAACUCUUGGACUAACUAAAGGUUCCUAUACACACUUCUGAGUUGAUUGCAAAUGGUGCUUUAGGUUGAGGGUCUUAACAUCCACCACAGAGUGAAUCUUAGGAUGUCUAAACCAGAGAGUUCCUGGCUCUGGCCAUUGCUGAUAAGGAUAAAGGAAGAGUAAGUUAGACAAGAUGCUUUCAACCAGAACUGUGGUGCCUACACGCACCAUGGUCAUUGUUGCUAAGAUUAAUUUCACACUUUGAGUUGGCUAAGUUACCUUCUUAUCAAAGGUCUACUGCAUGAUUGCAGGGUUUGGUCAAGUAGCAGAGUAGUUCAUUUCAUGGCAUAUAAUUAGUAUAUGUAUGCAGUUUGCACAUACACACAUACACACACAUUCAUGUAUGCAUUCACUUGUAAGCAUAUACAUAACUUUGUUUCUUUUUAUAACAUUUUAUUUUUACUUUUUAAAAUUACUUUUAUAUGUGUUUGAGUGUGGAUUUGUACACAUGAAUGCAGGUGCCCAAGGUGUACAGAAGAGAGCAAUAGAUCCUAUUGGAACAGGAGUUACAGGUGGUUGUGAGCUACCAGAAUUGGGUAUUGGGAAUGAAUCUCAGGUCUUCUGGAGGAACAGUGCAUCUCUCUAGCUAUUAUCUUGAUCUCUUAAAUUAGUUAUAGCUUACAUAUAUUAAUAGCAAAAUCAUUCACAUGCACAUAUCUGUAUGAGAGACCUUCCUAUUUUACCAGCGGAGACAAAUAAUCAGUGAGCUUGUUUGAAAAGUUGAUACACAAUUAUUGAUUCACAACUUACCUUUGCAUGGCACAUGUAAAUAUCUAUUCAAAUAUCACAGUUUUGUUAGGAGACAGAAAGCAUGGCAUUGAAUUUCAGUGUGGUAACCAGAAAUCCGUUAAUCUUUUCUUGCUUAAAUCAUAGUAGUGGUAUCAUAAAGUCCUCCGCUUCAUACUUCAUGGUUUUUUUGAGGGAUGAUAAUCUGAAUAAAAACUUUUAUUUUCAGGAUUUUGUGAUAUUGUGAGUGCUUUGCAAUAAUACACGCACACAUUUGAUAGUAUCUCUUCUAGAAACUUAAAUUGGUGUCUUUUAAUAGGAACAAGUUUUCAUAUUCAUAUACUGUUUAUGUAUAUAAAAAUUUAUCACCUUACCUAGUGCCAGUCACUGGGCGAACAGACAGUCGCAGGUUUGAGAAGAUCCACAACUGUUCACCUUAGUAAAAUUCCUGCUGAAAGGGAUGCAUUAAUUCUACACUAGUGCCAAGGGAGCAUCCAUGCAUCAUUACAUCCAGGUCGAUAUUGAAUGUCUUCAUGCAAAGAUGUCUUUCUAAUUUAUAAAUAUGAACACAUCACACAACUUGUGUUCAUUCUAUUAAAGGUAUUAUAAAAUACUUUUGUUUUCUUCUUUUAUUUAUUUCUGUGGGUUUUUUUAGAUUUUAUUUAUUUUUGUAUUUUUAUUUGAUGGAUGUUUUGUUUACAUGUAUGCCUGUACACUAUAUUCAUGUAGCACCUGUACAGGCCAGAGAGAGUAUUGGAUCCCUGGGACUAGAGUUAAAAGCAAUUAUGAACUACUAUGUGGAGUGCUAGGAACAGAGCCUGAGUCGUCUGGAAGAGCACCCAGUGCCCUUAACCACUGAGUCAUCUCUCUAAUAUCUAUCUAUCUAUCUAUCUAUCUAUCUAUCUAUCUAUCUAUCUAUCUAUUUGUUUGUUUAUUUAUUUAUUUUGUGGUGUUUGCAAAGAAGGAAAGUCCUUGAACUUACUAGGCAAGCAGUGUACCACUGAGUUGCACUCCACAACCCUGGGGAAUUUUUAGUUUUAAAUAAUUUACUUACAAGUUUGAAAUUUUAGUACUCUACUGUAUGGAAAGGCAGAUGGAAAUUAUUUUAUGAAAUCUGGACUUGCUUAGCAUUUUAUAUAAUAUAUUUAUUUCUGUCAGGGAAUACACUUUCAUAUUAUUAAUUAAAAUCCUGUAUUCUUUGUCUCACUGAAAGAAUAUUUGGUACAGGGGAAACCAAUUUACCAGGAUUGUUUUUCUCUCUGAUCAUUCUUGGCAAUAUGUGAAGUCUUGGUGAGAACACAGUCAGUUUGAGGCACAGAAAUAAUCCCAUGUCUAGUGCUGAGAACAGGGUCUGGCCAUAGGAAGCAUUAAGUAAGUGGUCUGAAGUUUGAGAUCUCUUCUAACAGCUGGUUGAGAAAAGAAUGUUCGUUGGCAAGUGGCACAAAAGGAAAACAGCUGAUCUAUAUAGAAUAUUUCGGCAUCUUUAAGAAAGAUGUGUCACAAGGGUGUUGUUAGUUUGCUAAGCAAGAUGUCAGCGACUAUGUAGGGAAGGUGAGGUGAAGCAAGAUUGCGUUACACAAUAGAGAGAAUUGGGAUGAGGAGAUGAGGAGAUGCAUGGAAGAGUAUAAAGUCUCAUAUGUAAUAUGAAGGAGGAGACUGGGUAGGAGGAAGGAUUUUAUAGCAACAUCCACUAUUCUAUGUAUGGACAGAAUUCUAUUCAGUGAGAGAUGCCCCCUUAGUAAUCUUCACUAGAAUAUCCUGUUUAAUGGCAUCAGGAACCACAGAGAAGACAAGGAGUUAUUAAUGAACUCCUGUGAGGCCUCUUUCCAGCUUAAGGAAGUGUUUGCCCAGAUUUAGCUCUCUAAAGGCUGUUAAAGGUGGGAAGGGGUAUCACAGAAGUGCCAUUACUCUUGUGAACAGCAUAGGUGAUCCAUGGAAAGGAGACUGGGCUUUGAGUAGGCUCAGUUGCCUUGGGCAGUCUUAAGGAAGGGAAAUAUUUACACUGCAGUUUGGAACAGGGUGGAGCGAGAGAAGCAAGAAGUCCGAGUCAAAGGGAUGGUCAGAUGACAACGCAAGUUCAGCAUUGAUGAAACCAGCAAGAGACUAAAGAAGAAGCUCACUCCUCCACACCUCUUCCUUCCUACCUCACGAUUGCCAGGACUGUUCUGUGUCCUAGGUCAUUCUUCAGUGUUCAGGUUACGUUCCUAACUACUCAAUGAGAUUACUUUUCUACUCCAAGGAACAAAUUACAAGUAGAAAUACAGUAUUUAUAGUAUUUAACCAUUUGUGUCCUACAAAAAUAAUGGCAACUGCAUGCAAUUCAACUUGAGUUUAAACACUUUAUAAACAGCAGAAAUAUAAAUAAAAGUACACUAUUAGGAUAAAAAAAAGGCAGCAUAUCUUGGUGAUGUUAUAUAAAACCUGGCUUUGAUGUUAGACAAAUUCAAGUUCAAGUCAGCGACUGAGUCUCUGUGAGUGUUAACUGAGACUGAGUAUGACAGCUGGCAUCUUGUACAAGCAUUCGGUUCAUAUUAGCCUCUAGAAAGGACACCUCUCCUUGCUUCUCAAGUUUUCUUUUUUCUUUUUUUAAUUUUAUUUUAAAAUGAAAUAACUCUUAUUAAUUAUUAUUAUUUUUAUUAGAUAUUUUCUUUAAUUUCAAAUGUUAUCCUCUUUCCUGAUUUCCCCUCCAAAAAUCCCGUCUCCUUCUGCCUUCCCUGUUCACCAACCCACCCACUCCUGCUUCCUGGCCCUGGCAUUCCCCUACACUGGGGUUGAGAGCCUUCACAGGACCAAGGGCCUCUCCUCCCAUUGAUGACCAACUAGACAAAUACAGAUGUGGAUGCUCACAGCCAUCCAUUGAACUGAGCACAGGGUCCCCAGUGAAGGAGCUAGAGAAAGUACCCAAGUAGCUGAAGGGGUUUGCAGCCCCAUAGAAGAAACAACAAUCUGUACUAACUAGUACCCCCAGAGCUUCCAGGGACUAAACCACCAACCAAAGAGUACACGACGAGGGACCCAUGGCUUCAGUUGCAUAUGUAGCUUCUCAAGUUUUCAAGUCUUGUCAGUCUCUAGCAUUGCUGAUCUCUCUGCUGUGGCCACUUUGGUAAUUUCACAUGUGAUGUUUCUUGUUUUGCUCUGUGGUGCCAACUCAGCCACUCCUACUCUAGCAAACAUUGGAUAAAUACUGCUUUUGGUACAGGUGUAGGAUUUAGAAAAUGGAGGUAUAAACACAAGAACUAACUUUCAGAUUCUGUCAACAGCUACUUCUGCUGCCACCAAUCCUGCUGCUUCUUCACUGUCAGUUGAAGCAUAGUAUCCGUUUGACUCUCUGCCCAUUCCAUUAUCUAGGAAACAGCUAUAUGUUGACAGGAGCUUCCUGAUGAACCCUGAGUUCAAAGCAGCUCUGUCUGUGGACUUCUUUUCUGAAUUUUAAAGAUAGUAGUUGGCAUCUGUUAUGUUAAAUAGUUUUCUUUCCCCUUGCCAAGUGCCAUUGAUUGGUAUUGGCUGCCAGAAGCACUGUGUUGGGAAAGAUUCUAAGGCCAAGUUUGUACUCAGUGGGAAUGUCAUGAUCAAUUAGUGAUGUCUGCCACAGAUGCAGCAGGGGGUGAAUAGAGUAGAAACAUCAUCCAUACAGUUGAUUUGUUGAUCUUUGAUCUACAUGCUUAUUCUGUUUGGUUGAGACAGAGAAGGUAAUGAAACUGCUGGGUGCACCCUCCUAGUGUCUUCUUUUACUUUACUCUAAAAUUUUUUUUUUACUGAAUUUCCCCAGACAUUUAAGUGGAAAUGUAAAGACUCAACAGAAUUCUAAGACCUCCAGAAUAAUGUGGGUGCCCCAUCUGUAGCAUCUUUGGGAAGCAGGAGGGAUGAGAUAGGGAAUUUGUUUUAUUAGGUAUUGCCAGCUGCUCUGACUUCCUUGUGAUUGUCCUAAGCUAGCUAGUUGUGGCUGAUAAGAAAAACUCUUCUCUUUUACAGGUGUAAAAACUAAUUUGAUUUCAAAAUAGCUGUUGUUAGUAAAGCAAGAUGAGAGAAAGGAGAAUGUUCUUGUGGCAGAAGGCAUUUAAAUCUAUUGCAUAUGGAGAUUUUUUUUCAGACACUACCAACAGGAUUUUAUGUCUGAAAUGGAAAUGGAAAGGCAAUGUCAGCCUAACAAGGUGAUGGCUUGAAACACAAGACAUGAAGGAACUUUGUUAGGGACCAAAAUAACUGGUCCCCAAUUUUAUGUAUAUACAUACAUGUUUUGGCUAUCACUAUAAACAUGGUGAAAGCAAUGGAGCUGUUUUAUAACUGAUAAAAAGAUGAAUAGAACAAAAUAACCAGCUGUCUUUUUACUCUCGGACCACUGGGUUCUGCCCAUAUUUCCUUCCAUUCACAUAUCUUUGGUUACCUUGUUUGAAAUGGGGUAGACAUGCGGUUAAUUUGGUUUGUUAUUAUAUUAUUUGUUUGAGGAUUUCAUAAAUAAGUGCAAUAUAUUUGCAUCAUUUCCACCCCAACACCUCCCAAAACCACCCAUCUCAAAUUCAUUUACUCUUUUUCUAUAAUUGUUUUUGUCAUAUAUUACACACACACAAAGGCACAUACACACACACGCACACACAGGCACACACACACACACACACACACACACACACACACACACUGAGAGUUGCCCUAAUUUAGGGUUGACCACUUAGGGUUCAGGUCUCAUCCCUGAAAAAUGAAGAAGAAGAAGAAGAAGAAGAAGAAGAAGAAGAAGAAGAAGAAGAAGAAGAAGAAGAAGAAGAAGAAGAAGAAGAAAAAACAGAAAACAACAACUGCACCGACUUUCCUCAGCAGCCACCCACUGCCUGCAGUUCCCCUUUUUAUAGGUGGCACUGUGAAACUCCACUGUCUGUGAUGCUUGAUGAAAUCUAUUCAGGUCUUGUGCAGGCAGCCAUAUUGCUUGAGUUUACGGGUUCAUCCAUGCCAUAUCCAGAAGAUACCAUCCUGGAAAGUCAUUCUGGACUGCAGCUUUGUACAGUCUUUGUGCCCUUCUGACUGUGAUGAUCCCAUAUGCUACCACACACUUACAUAAACUACUAACAACAAAAAGACAGCAACAAUAGCAAUAAAUAUAAUUCUUUUAAAAAAGAAAGCACAAACUGACUUUGGAACGUUGUUUAAUCCGUUCCUGUUUAUGAAGAAUCCAUGGAAAGGAAACCCAGAAGUUCUGUUAUAGAUGUCCUAUGUGAGGCUGGGCCCUCCAUCUGCAUUUUAUGAUGUCAUUUAUUUUUAAUUCAGUAUUUUACCUUAGUUGAAAUAACUAAUCAUUCAAAGUGCGCUUUAGAGAACUUGUGAUUAAAACAAGUACAUAUAAACCAAUUUAUUUCUAAUUUCUCCUAUUUUAAAUUUCUCAUUUAAGAGAAGAAACUUUAUUUUUCUUUUUUUUUCCAUUUUUUAUUAGGUAUUUAACUCAUUUACAUUUCCAAUGCUAUACCAAAAGUCCCCCAUAUCCACCCACCCCCACUCCCCUGCCAACCCACUCCCCCUUUUUGGCCCUGGUGUUCCCCUGUACUGGGGCAUAUAAAGUUUGCAAGUCCAAUGGGCCUCUCUUUCCAGUGAUGGCCGACUAGGCCAUCUUUUGAUAUAUAUGCAGCUAGAGUCAAGAGCUCCGGGGUACUGGUUAGUUCAUAAUGUUGUUCCACCUAUAGGGUUGCAGAUCCCUUUAGCUCUUUGGCUACUUUCUCUAGCUCCUCCAUUGGGAGCCCUAUGAUCCAUCCAUUAGCUGACUGUGAGCAUCCACUUCUGUGUUUGCUAGGCCCCGGCAUAGUCUCACAAGAGACAGCUACAUCUGGGUCCUUUCAAUAAAAUCUUGCUAGUGUAUGCAAUGGUGUCAGCGUUUGGAUGCUGAUUAUGGGGUGGAUCCCUGGAUAUGGCAGUCUCUACAUGGUCCAUCCUUUCAUCUCAGCUCCAAACUUUGUCUCUGUAACUCCUUCCAUGGGUGUUUUGCUCCCAAAUCUAAGGAGGGGCAUAGUGUCCACACUUCAGUCUUCAUUCUUCUUGAGUUUCAUGUGUUUAGCAAAUUAUAUCUUAUAUCUUGGGUAUCCUAGGUUUGGGGCUAAUAUCCACUUAUCAGUGAGUACAUAUUGUGUGAGUUUCUUUGUGAAUGUGUUACCUCACUCAGGAUGAUGCCCUCCAGGUCCAUCCAUUUGGCUAGGAAUUUCAUAAAUUCAUUCUUUUUAAUAGCUGAGUAGUACUCCAUUGUGUAGAUGUACCACAUUUUCUGUAUCCAUUCCUCUGUUGAGGGGCAUCUAGGUUCUUUCCAGCUUCUGGCUAUUAUAAAUAAGGCUGCUAUGAACAUAGUGGAGCAUGUGUCCUUCUUACCAGUUGGGGCAUCUUCUGGAUAUAUGCCCAGGAGAGGUAUUGCUGGAUCCUCCGGUGGUACUAUGUCCAGUUUUCUGAAGAACCGCCAGACUGAUUUCCAGAGUGGUUGUACAAGCCUGCACUCCCACCAACAAUGGAGGAGUGUUCCUCUUUCUCCACAUCCACGCCAGCAUCUGCUGUCACCUGAAUUUUUGAUCUUAGCCAUUCUGACUGGUGUGAGGUGGAAUCUCAGGGUUGUUUUGAUUUGCAUUUCCCUGAUGAUUAAGGAUGUUGAACAUUUUUUCAAGUGCUUCUCUGCCAUUCGGUAUUCCUCAGGUGAGAAUUCUUUGUUCAGUUCUGAGCCCCAUUUUUUAAUGGGGUUAUUUGAUUUUCUGAAGUCCACCUUCUUGAGUUCUUUAUAUAUGUUGGAUAUUAGUCCCCUAUCUGAUUUAGGAUAGGUAAAGAUCCUGAAACUUUAUUUUUCUAAAAGCAACAUUGGUUGGUCUGCAUGCAGCUUGUCCUUCUGGUAGCUAUUUCUUCUCCAUUUGAUGUGCUUUGAGAAAAAGAGAUAAACAUGAACUUUAAACAGUAGCUAGUAGUUUUUUUCAGGAAAAGACAAAAAUGGCUUUAGAAAAUUGGGCAGUGAACCAGUGAGAUAGUUCAAUGGUUAACUCACUUGUUGCUAAGCCUGACAACCUGAAUUUGUUUGCCCAUGGAAGAGGGAGAAAACCAGCUUCUGUGGCUUGGUCUCUGACCUGAAUAAUCU